rnacentral:rRNA from 1 species
UACGGAGGGUGCAAGCGUUAAUCGGAAUUACUGGGCGUAAAGCGUGCGCAGGCGGUUUGUUAAGUCCGCUGUGAAAUCCCCGAGCUCAACUUGGGAAUUGCAGUGGAUACUGGCAGGCUGGAGUACGGUAGAGGAAGGUGGAAUUCCCGGUGUAGCAGUGAAAUGCGUAGAGAUCGGGAGGAACACCAGUGGCGAAGGCGGCCUUCUGGGUCGAUACUGACGCUGAGGCGCGAAAGCUAGGGGAGCAAACAGG